GCAGUUGUGGCCGAGUGGUGAAGGCGAUGGAUUUGAAAUCCAUGGGGGUUCCCCCCGCACAGGUUCAAAUCCUGCUGGCUACU